rnacentral:snRNA from 14 species
CAACUGGCAGGUGAGACAUCACACUCACAAAGGUGUUUUUCCCAGAGAAAGGCCUAUUUCUUCCACGUUGGGCGUGCUGACACCAGCAAUUUCCCCAAAUGCAGGGAACUUGACUUCAUCUUUUGUGAUAAUGGCAAGCUCUGCUCGUGUUCUCCCUG